CUCCGGCUCCACGGGUCUUUGACCUGCCGCCUCGUUCUCGCUCUCCCCUCGUCGUCACUGCUUGCUAGCUGUUGUGCUACAGGGUCAACAUCUUCCUCUCUUACAGGGUCAUAAUCUUCCUCUCUUCCAGGGUCCAACAUCUUCCUCUCUUCCUACGAGAUCCAUCUGCAUUUGUGAUGCACACUGCAGCAGUGAUGGAUGCCGCGGUGUUCUGAUAAAAGGAGGUCCGACCUGAAUCCCAGGGUUAAAAUACGUUUCCGGAAGGGCGUUGGGAAAUGCCACUCUCUGUUCAACCCAGUGGAACUCUUUUCCCUUUGAGGAGUUUACAAUAGCGAAGUACAGUUAUACAUUGAUAUUGUGUACUGUUUAUUGUUUUAAAUAAUGCUUGUAUUUAACGUUAUCAUUAUUGUAGAAAUGUAAAAAUGGAUGGUUGCAGACUUGCCUGGAGCUGGCCACUCCCCUUAUAGUCUCCGUGGAACGUCCCACCAAGCCUGGAUGCUCCUGAUCACCUCCACCUCCUGUGGUACACAAAACACAACCAUCACUUAUUUUCAGAUUGGUUUCUAGUGAAGUAACGUCUAGGCAACAUUUAGUAAUGAUACAAGUAUUUAGGUGAACUAGAGCAAAGACAAAUCAAUAUUUUUUUGUAUCGUCAGCAGCUCCUCUUCUACGCGGUCGCUGUUACCGACCGACAGGUUAGGUUAUCCGUGCGAUGGCGAACGGGGUCUCGGUGGCGUCCAGCGCCUUCAACAGCCUCCUCUUCUGCCCCAGGAGGAGGUCUGUCUCGGCCACCAGCUGUUUCAUGUGCCGCUGCAGCUCUGACUUCCAGAAGUGGAUUAUGCUGCAGUCUCUCGCCCAGGUGCCGCGUCCUCAGCUUGGGUGUGCAGAGCCCGGACUCGGUCUCCUUAUACAGUGUUUUGGACUCAUGGCGAAUCCUCUCUGCGUUGUUUCAGUCUGUAACCACCUGGUGAAGGGUAGAGAAAUGCUUGAAGUGCCAUUCCUCCGGGAUGCCAUUACUCUGAACGGUACCCCGCUGUAGCCAAGCCAGGGGAGGGAUACAAGUUAUGUGGGGCGGAGGCCACUCUAAAAGUGUGCAAUGCCACAGAUGUCUCAAGUUUUGAGGGAGCAUGCAAUUGGCACGCUGACUGCAGGAAUGUUCACCAGAGCUGU